UACGUAGGGUGCAAGCGUUAAUCGGAACUACUGGGCGUAAAGGGUGCGUAGGCGGUUAUUUAAGUCUGCUGUGAAAUCCCCGGGCUCAACCUGGGAAUGGCAGUGGAUACUGGAUAGCUAGAGUGUGUCAGAGGAUGGUGGAAUUCCCGGUGUAGCGGUGAAAUGCGUAGAGAUCGGGAGGAACAUCAGUGGCGAAGGCGGCCAUCUGGGACAACACUGACGCUGAAGCACGAAAGCGUGGGGAGCAAACAGC
rnacentral:rRNA from 1 species